rnacentral:piRNA from 5 species
GGGGGUAUAGCUCAGGGGUAGAGCAUUUGACU